GGCCUGAUAGCACAACUGGUUAGUGCAUCUACUUAAGGUGUCCAGCAUGCAGCACACUUCUUCAGCAGAAGAUCCCUGUUCGAUCUGGGGUCGGGCCA